rnacentral:rRNA from 1 species
UAACGCGAAGAACCUUACCGGGGUUUGACAUUCUAGCUGCACAUCCUAAGAGAUUAGGACUUCUUUGAGAGUGCUAGAACAGGUGUUGCAUGGCUGUCGUCAGCUCGUGCCGUGGGGUGUUCCCUUCAGUGGGGUAACGAGCGCAACCCUUGCCGUAUGUUAAAUAUUCAUACGGGACUACCCAAUUUAUUUGGGAGGAAGUGGGGACGAUGUCAAGUCAGCAUGGCCCUUAUGUCCCGGGCGACACACAUGCUACAAUGGCGCUUAACAGAGGGUUGCCAAGCCGCAAGGCGGAGCUAAUCCCAAAAACAGCGUCUCAGUGGGGAUUGGGGGCUGAAACUCGCCCCCAUGAACGCGGAAUUGGUAGUAAUCGCGAAUCAGCCAAGUCGCGGUGAAUACGUUCUCGGGUCUUGUACACACCGA